GAUGAAGAACGUAGCGAAAUGCGAUAAGUAAUGCGAAUUGCAGAAUUCAGUGAGUCAUCGAAUCUUUGAACGCAUAUUGCGCCCUGUGGUAUUCCGCAGGGCAUGCCUGUUCGAGCGUCAUUUCAACCCUCAAGCUCUGCUUGGUGUUGGGCCCUGCCCGCUGCGGCCGGCCCUAAAGACAGUGGCGGUGCCGCCUGGCCCUGAGCGUAGUACAUCUCUCGCUCCAGUGCCCGGUGGUAGCCUGCCAGAACCCCAACUCUCGUGGUUGACCUCGGAUCAGGUAGGGAUACCCGCUGAACUUAAGCAUAUCAAUAAGCGGAGGA
rnacentral:misc_RNA from 1 species